rnacentral:rRNA from 1 species
UCAGUCGACUCCUACGGGGAGGCAGCAGUGGGGGAAUAUUGCACAAUGGGCGCAAGCCUGAUGCAGCCAUGCCGCGUGUGUGAAGAAGGCCUUCGGGUUGUAAAGCACUUUCAGUCGUGAGGAAGGUAGUGUAGUUAAUAGCUGCAUUAUUUGACGUUAGCGACAGAAGAAGCACCGGCUAACUCCGUGCCAGCAGCCGCGGUAAUACGGAGGGUGCGAGCGUUAAUCGGAAUUACUGGGCGUAAAGCGCAUGCAGGUGGUUUGUUAAGUCAGAUGUGAAAGCCCGGGGCUCAACCUCGGAAUUGCAUUUGAAACUGGCAGACUAGAGUACUGUAGAGGGGGGUAGGAAUUUCAGGUGUAGCGGUGAAAUGCGUAGAGAUCUGAAGGAAUACCGGUGGCGAAGGCGGCCCCCUCGGACAGAUACUGACACUCAGAUGCGAAAGCGUGGGGAGCAAACAGGAUUAGAUACCCCUGGUAG